rnacentral:rRNA from 1 species
UACGUAGGGACCAAGCGUUGUUCGGAUUUACUGGGCGUAAAGGGCGCGUAGGCGGCAAUUCAAGUCAUCUGUGAAAUCUCCGGGCUUAACUCGGAACGGUCAGAUGAUACUGCUUUGCUAGAGUGCGGAAGGGGCAAUCGGAACUCUUGGUGUAGCGGUGAAAUGCGUAGAUAUCAAGAGGAACACCUGAGGUGAAGACGGGUUGCUGGGCCGACACUGACGCUGACAGCGCGAAAGCCAGGGGAGCAAACGGG